rnacentral:rRNA from 1 species
UAACGCGUAUCCAACUUCCCGUUAACUUGGGAAUAGCCCGGUGAAAACCGGAUUAAUGCCCGAUGUGGUCCAGCGAGGGCAUCUGACCCGGACCAAAGAUUUUGUCGGUUAAGGAUGGGGAUGCGUCUGAUUAGCUUGUUGGCGGGUAACGGCCACCAAGGCUACGAUCACGUAGGGGUUCUGAGAGGAAGGUCCCCCACAUUGGAACUGAGACACGGUCCAAACUCCUACGGGAGGCAGCAGUGAGGAAUAUUGGUCAAUGGGCGAGAGCCUGAACCAGCCAAGUAGCGUGGAGGAUGACGGCCCUACGGGUUGUAAACUCCUUUUGUACGGGGAUAAAGGAGCUUACGUGUAAGUUUUUGCAGGUACCGUACGAAUAAGGACCGGCUAAUUCCGUGCC